rnacentral:rRNA from 1 species
UAAGCAUAUCAAUAAGCGGAGGAAAAGAAACCAACAGGGAUUGCCCUAGUAACGGCGAGUGAAGCGGCAACAGCUCAAAUUUGAAAUCUGGCUCUUUUAGAGUCCGAGUUGUAAUUUGCAGAGGGCGCUUUGGCUUUGGCAGCGGUCCAAGUUCCUUGGAACAGGACGUCACAGAGGGUGAGAAUCCCGUACGUGGUCGCUGGCUAUUGCCGUGUAAAGCCCCUUCGACGAGUCGAGUUGUUUGGGAAUGCAGCUCUAAAUGGGAGGUACAUUUCUUCUAAAGCUAAAUAUUGGCCAGAGACCGAUAGCGCACAAGUAGAGUGAUCGAAAGAUGAAAAGCACUUUGGAAAGAGAGUCAAACAGCACGUGAAAUUGUUGAAAGGGAAGCGCUUGCAGCCAGACUUGCUUGCAGUUGCUCAUCCGGGCUUUUGCCCGGUGCACUCUUCUGUAGGCAGGCCAGCAUCAGUUUGGGCGGUAGGAUAAAGGUCUCUGUCACGUACCUCUCUUCGGGGAGGCCUUAUAGGGGAGGCGACAUACUACCAGCCUGGACUGAGGUCCGCGCAUCUGCUAGGAUGCUGGCGUAAUGGCUGUAAGCGGCCCGUCUUGAAACACGGACCAAGGAGUCUAACAUCUAUGCGAGUGUUUGGGUGUCAAGCCCGAGCGCGUAAUGAAAGUGAACGGAGGUAGGACCCCGCAAGGGUGCACUAUCGACCGAUCCUGAUGUCUUCGGAAGGAUUUGAGUAAGAGCAUGGCUGUUGGGACCCGAAAGAUGGUGAACUAUGCUUGAAUAGGGUGAAGCCAGAGGAAACUCUGGUGGAGGCUCGCAGCGGUUCUGACGUGCAAAUCGAUCGUCAAAUUUGGGCAUAGGGGCGAAAGACUAAUCGAACUAUCUAGUAGCUGGUUCCUGCCGA